rnacentral:misc_RNA from 1 species
AAGUCGUAACAAGGUUUCCGUAGGUGAACCUGCGGAAGGAUCAUUAACACGAAUUUUAUAUCUACUAUUCACUUAUCAUAACCCAACGUGAACCGAUCUCCUCCCUCUUGUGGGAUUGGAUUGAAUUCAGUUUCAGUUCAGUUUCCAAGAGGCUAACACACGAUUAGAAUGAUUCUAUUCUAUACUAAUAUAUACUAUCGAAUCAUUCUAAUCACCCACAAUCUUUUAACCCCAUUUUAUCUAUUAUGCAUUGUUUGGUAGCUGUUUGAUUCAGUUCUCACCAUUCAAAUACAACUAUAUAAUUGAAUCGUCCCAUCCAUUCAUUGGACUGAGGCUGAUUCCUUUUGUAUCUUUAAGAAACAACUCUAUUUGAUAGAAACAACUCUUAACAAUGGAUAUCUUGGUUCUC